UUAAAAAAAAAAACUUGUUAUUUUAUUAUUUUUCCCCCUUCUGUCUCUUUCGGCUUUCCCAGCUUCUCAGCACUGCGGCCUUCCUUGCCAAUCUGGCUCUCGCUUCUCUCUCCCUCUCUCCACCACACCCGCCAUCCUUUUUGGAAAAUCGAACAGAGCGCCGCCUUCAUCCCCCGUUCCUGUCCAUUUGGGUGAGUGCUGAAGUUUUCAUAGCUUGCUGUAGCGAUGGAAACUGCUCAAAAAGGCACAGCCGUUUUUGUGGAUCGUGCUUCUCGAUCAACAAGAGGCAGAAGGAUGACAAAGUUGCUGGACGAGGAAGUUGAAGAAGACGAGUCGUUUUGGAAUCAAGAAGCUUUUAAAGAGGAAGAGAAUGAUGCCAAUUACGAAGAAGAACCGGAGGUUGCUGAUGUGUUUGAUAGUGACUUCGAUGAAGAUGAACCUGAGCCAGAUGAGGAAGUAGAAAAUGAAGCAGAUGAAAGGGUUCGCACGAAGAAACGUCUUAUAUUUCCUGGAAAGCCUUCUUUGAAGAAAAAGAAGAAAAAGAAAGUCCUUUCAAAGUUAGAUGGUGUUUCCAAGGAUGAAAAUCUGACUCAAAAUUCCUCUCCACAACAUCAUGACACCCCUGAUGAUGCAGAAGGUGAGAGAAUUAUCAGGAAAUCUACAAGAACUUCAGUUAUUGUUAGGCAAGCUGAGCGAGAGGCAUUACAAGCUGCUCUGCAAGCAACAAUGAAGCCAAUAAAAAGGAAAAAAGAAGGUGAAGAGAAGAGGAUGACGCAAGAAGAGAUGCUUUUGGAAGCAGCACAAACAGAAAUCAUGAACCUAAGGAAUUUAGAGCGUGUAUUGGCAAGAGAGGAAGAAGUCAAGAAAAGAGCAAUAAUCCACAAGGCAGUAUAUAAUGGGCCACAGAUUAAAUAUGUGUCAAAAGAUGGUUCUUCAUAUCUAGAAUUUAGUAAAGGAUCAUCAUUUCAUUCAGAGCUCUCAACCACAUCACUCCCAUACCCUGAAAAGGCCAUGUGUGCUGUUACUGGAUUGCCUGCAAAGUACCGAGAUCCAAAGACAGGGCUAUGUUAUGCAACCAAGGAAGCCUUUAAAAUUAUUCAAGAACGUUUUCAAGAUGAACAUAAAAGUGCCCAGAAGGAAAUGGAUAUGGGUGUCUUGUUUGAUUCCCUGUCUGGUAAAGGUUCAAUCCCGAGGCAGAAGAGAUCUCACAUUUCAAAUAGAAAUCAAACAUCACGUUUCCAAUACUUGGGGCAUUUCCACAGAACUCCACCUGAUGAAGAUGAAGAUUCAGAGUAGUUGAUGAGAACUAAAGCUCAGUCAUCCACUGCAAAAGAUGAAUUUGGGGACUAAAGCACAUAUUCUCUAAAGAAAUUUUGUGCAGAUUGACUUGCCAAAUGAGCCUCUCAACCAAAGAGAAUGCUGAUAAUGAAUUUGCCUCUAUUUGUUGGCCAACCAAGUGUUUCUUACUUUUCCUAUAGGAGGUUGUUGUAUGUGAAUUGGUAACUAAACUCACCUGAUACAAUUUUGAAUAUAGCAAAUUCAAUAGUCAAUCGGUACAUAAAUUGAUUUCCAGACUUGAAUUCUGGUGACAGACAGUGUUUGUGACUACUCCAUGCUUUGGAGAAUAUCAAGAUCAGUUUGAUUAUGCUUACCAAUGAUAUAUUGGUUUUACUGAUUUCCUCAUCACUUGAAAAAUCAAUAUAUAAAAAUAUAUGUAUUCUGAUUUUUUUAAAUGGUUGGAAUUUGGGAAGAGAGAUGGAGAGAGCAAAACAUCACCAUGCUUGAGGUGAGCAUCGAGUGUCGCAUUUGGGUGUGUACAAAUAGUGGGAUCCAUGCUACAUUAUUUGCACACUGCUAAAAUGUAAGUCUCUGCUCGCUCAAAGCAUGAAAUUGGGGCAAAUGUGUCAUUAUCUUUGAUUAUUGUGGUGAACAUGGCCUGUAGGGGAAUCCUAUCAUGUGAUAAUUUGGAAAGUGUGAUAUUUGAAGUUUUGUUUGAUUUUCAAGAUAUCUAAUAAUUAAAUUCACUUGUUUGGU